rnacentral:rRNA from 1 species
UACGAAGGGGGCUAGCGUUGUUCGGAAUUACUGGGCGUAAAGGGUUUGUAGGUGGCCCGCUAAGUCACACGUGAAAUCCCUCAGCUUAACUGGGGAACUGCGUGUGAGACUGGCAGGCUCGAGGGCAGGAGAGGAACGCGGAAUUCCAGGUGUAGCGGUGAAAUGCGUAGAUAUCUGGAGGAACACCAAUGGCGAAGGCAGCUCGCUGGGACGUGACUGACGCUGAGACGCGAAAGCGUGGGGAGCAAACAGG